GAUUAAGUUAUUAAGGGCGCACGGUGGAUGCCUUGGCACUAGAAGCCGAUGAAGGACGUUACUAACGACGAUAUGCUUUGGGGAGCUGUAAGUAAGCUUUGAUCCAGAGAUUUCCGAAUGGGGAAACCCAGCAUGAGUUAUGUCAUGUUAUCGAUAUGUGAAUACAUAGCAUAUCAGAAGGCACACCCGGAGAACUGAAACAUCUUAGUACCCGGAGGAAGAGAAAGAAAAUUCGAUUCCCUUAGUAG
rnacentral:rRNA from 1 species